CUAAGGUCCCCUAAUCACCUGUCAUCCUGUAUUAACGGUCCCCUCUGUCCUGUAGCCCCAUCAUGUUCCGUGCGAGGUGCGUCUGAACGUAGAGGAGAAGAGACCAGGGCGGUGCGUGAGCGGAGGUCCGUGGCGGAGACGACGCAGAGACAUGGGGAGACGCGGCGACAGGGGGCCCGGCGGCCCACGAGAGGCAUGGUGGCCGGCAGCGGGAUGUGCGUGACGGCAGGGGCCCCCCACCCAGGGGCGGCAUGGGUGCUCCCAAGCCCGCCUGGGUUCUGAAGAGGAGCAGGAGGAUCCGCCGAGGGCCGCUUCACCACCAGCGCCGCUGCUAGUGCACCUGCAGUUCGGAAGUAGUCUCCCAUGGGAAUUGCCCCUUGAUCUGGCCAGGAAGUGGGAGUCUCAUCGUUCCUCUCUGGAUGACAUUCAAGACAUUGUGAAAGUGAUGCUAACACAGAUUCAUUUUAGUUCUGGACUAAAAAUAAUUCUAAAUAGAACAUCUCCAUAGAAAGUGCUUUUUAGUCCAGUACUAGGCUUAAUCUGAAAUCGCCCCUGAAUGUCCUGAUCAUCACUAUCAUUUCAAAUGGCAAAAACUCUAAUAUUUUAAAACAUAUAUAUUUUCACUCCAUUUCCUCAAAAAAUAUGACACUUUGUCAUCAUAGCAUUUUGAAGAGAUGAUCUCUGAUAUGUCAUGUUAGAUAUUUAAAUCCCCAGAAAUUAGAUGAUUUGUAAAAAAAAUAAAUAAUAAUACUUACCUGCAGAAAAUACCUGGAGAGUAAGAAGGAGAGAGAAAAUCACUGCUUCUGUUAGUUUGACUUCCAUUGUGAAAGGAACAUGCUGAGAUCUGUACAGAGGCCUUUUAAGACAAGGAGUGGAUCUGUCUGUCUCAGCGCCCUCUAUAAUUACAUUGAUAUUUCUGCACAUUUAGAUUUUUUAUCCAGGUGUCUGGCUGGAACAGAUGUGUAUUAACAUGUUAUAAUUACCCUCAGAGUACAAUAACACCUGACUCAAACUCAUAGCUACCAGACAGUUCCAUCAUUAUAUUGUGCAAAAGAGAUGGUGAUAAGUAAGCUCAAAUGAUAAGUUGUGUCUGGUCUGGGGCAAUUUGUCUAAAUAAAAAGGUAAGAUCUAUCUCACUCUCUCUCUCUGACAUGUGUGUGUGUGUAUGUGAUUUUGGACAGUUCCAUCAUUAUAUUGUGCAAAAGAGAUUGUGAUAAGUAAGCUCAAAUGAUAAGUAGGGUCUGGUUUGGGGAAAUGUAUGAAAAUUUAAAGGUCAACUCUAUCUCACUCUCUCUCUCUGAUGUGUGUGAGAGAGAAAGAGAGAGUGUCUGAGAGAAAGGCCAUCAGAUGCAACAUGGGUUGCAUACCAAACAGGUCCCAGUGUUCAGCGGGUCCCUAUUGUGGACAGCAUCUAGGUUAAAUGGAAAUUAUAUAAGCAGAUAAUAUAAGCAGGCUAUACACCCGUUAUAUAAGCAGACCAUUAUGUUCAAAAAUGAACACAGAGAAGAAAAAAAUACAGGUGCA
rnacentral:lncRNA from 1 species